GGCGGCAGCAGCGCGGAGGCGGCGGGAGACGGCGGGGCCCCGCUCCAGCAGGCGGCUUCAUCAACCAGAAGCCCACCAGGCCCAGAGAACAGCAACCUCGACCAUCAGUGCCCAGAAAGCAACAAGAAGCCCUUGGGGCAGUCCACAAUAUUAUAUGAUUACUCAGAGGAGGAGCUCAUGGCAAGCAUCGAGCGGGAGUACUGCCGCUGAACCCAGUUCCCUGCCUCGAGGGUGUCAGGCAUGGUCCUGGGAGCCCAGCUGAGCAGAACUGCUACAGACAACACGUCUCACACAGCCAGACAGCACGGGAGAGGUGGGUGGUGGAGGCUCCUGGGGCAUCAGGGGCAGCAUGGCUGCUUGGGAUGCACGGAGGAGAAAGUUCACCUGGUCUGCUCCUAGUGAGAGCAUGAAGAUCUUCACCAGCUGCUGAUUUCUGACUGGUGUCACUGGAAGAGGGACCAAUUCAUCUUAAGAAUCAAUAUUUAGAAGCUCAUUUCUGAAUGCUGUUUAUAAAUGAACAUGUACUAGAAUGAGGUGUUGAAAUGUGGUGCUUUGAAGGAAGAUCUUGCUUUGAACUUAGUAAAAAAAAAAAAGAAAAAGCAGUAAUAUCAUCUGAUCCAGAACUUCAGAGGAUAUUGAAUGAAAUUUAAUGUUUCUGCCACUUAAAAUGUGCCAAAUGUACUCUUUGUGCUGUGCAAGCCUCAGGUCCAGGUCUGAAUUUGGCACUGUCUCUUUCAAUCUGGUCCCCAGUAUGGGAGAUAACAGGAAGGGAGGAUUGAUCCCACCAUCUAGUGCAUAGGCAGUGUAAUCUCAGAGUCCAAAUCCUACCACACUGGCAAAUUAGGAACACAAGAUUUGUAUGAUCCCCUUGGGGCAGGAUCCCACCAUAGGUGUCCUACCUGGGGCUCCUGGGCGUGGAUCCAUCGCAGUGAUGGAAGUGAAAGCAGGAGGCACAUCCCCAUUUCAGUCAUCCCUCUCAAGAGGGUUUUGCAUGCUCUUGUAGAGCAGCUAUUUGGGAUCAGUUUUCAGCAUUGCCCCUCCUGGCCUUUCCCUAAUAUUUCUUGCAUUUUACCAUUAGCUGACUGCAAAGUAAACCAGAAAGUUCUCUCUCCUAAGGAAAUAGUAUUUUCAGUGCUCCCAGACAGGGAAGCUUGGUAUUUUGGGUUUCUGCUUUUGUUAUACCCGCAUCUUAACAUAUUAUGAGUAUCUGCUUAUUGUCAGAAAUAGAAAAAUACUUUAUUUCUAUCUUCAGCUGAAACAUAAAAGGCAUCAGUUUAAAUUUUCACUACAUGUAAAUGCAAAAAAACCCUGCAGAACACCUCUUAAGAUGCUGUAUUCUAAAUACUUUAUGAUUCCUGGGACCUGUGAAACAGAAAUAAAUGCAUCUGUACUCUGAA